AGCUGUUCUUCCCCUCUGCUGACUUUAUGUGGAGUAAAGGGCUACUCCAGCUGAGGAAAAAUGCCAAUAAAGGAGAUGAAAACAGCCAGAAAUUGUAUAUACUUAUCAUGUACAACAUGAUGCCCUGAAAUAUGUCUACACUACGGGAUGGCCAAAUUGAGGCAAUUAACAUAUGCAAGACCUCACAAACUUCAAAUUUUUUGUGGUGAGAACACUUAAAAUCCACAAAAAUUAGUAAUGUUCAGAAAUACGCCCAGACAGACGUCAACAUGGCUGCAGCUGAGAUGCAGGGCCACAACAAGAUACCCUUGUUCAUGAGACUGAUCUUAAGAAGACAGAUUCACUUGAGAGGAGAUGACCCUGUGGUACUCUGUUGCUGAUAUCCCAAAGAAAAAUCUGUUUGUUGUCACAUAAUAGUAACGUGGCAUAAACUAUCCGUUUAAUAAUUACUCAGCUUUAAGAUUAAGACUAAGACUUAUAUUUAAGACUUUAACACUAAAUUUAAGACUAAGACUUAAGUUUAAGACUUUAAGUUUAUUACUAAGCUUAUGAAAACUUAAAAAGACCUUAAUAAAGCCAGGAAUAGUGGCGCACACCUAUAAUCUCAGCUACU
rnacentral:lncRNA from 1 species